AACCAAUCAGAAUAUAAUCGCGGACGCUUCACUUCGUUGGCCAUUUUGUAUUCCUAACCAAUCACGCUUCUCAUAUUAGGAGAAUAUGAAUCAAAGGAAGCACCACUAACUCCUGUUGCUUACGUCACACGAGGAGUUAGUGGAACCUCCUAUCACUUUAUAUUUGCCUAAUACAGAACAAAAUGUGCGAAAGGAAAAUAGAUUCAAUUAAUUUGUCCUCUACCGGGACUUGGAUAUGCGGAUUCAGUUUGAAUACGAAGGCGGCCGAGCUCAUGGACAUCACCAGAGGAAUUGUCAUGCAGUUGACAGGUUGACAGUCGUCGUUAGAGAGACGCGGAUGCGGGACGCAGUCUAGAAUUGUACUUUCGCGUUGACAGGAAUAUCUUUCAGUCAGGAUUUCUAAAAACAGUGGAGACAGCCUCCGGAAUUGCUAUGGUACCAGCGUCAGUGAUAAAAGUGACAGUGAUAAAUUUAUAAGUAAUACUUCAGCAAUCCUCUUUGUGAAUUAUUAUUUAUUUACAAUUAACAGUUACAUAUUUAUUUACAA